rnacentral:rRNA from 1 species
UACAGAGGCCUCGAGCGUUAGGCGGAAUCACUGGGCUUAAAGCGUGUGUAGGCGGAUCGUUAAGUACCUUGUGAAAUCCCACGGCUCAACCGUGGAACUGCUUGGUAUACUGCUUAUCUUGGGCCAUCUAGGGGCGAGCGGAACAAACGGUGGAGCGGUGAAAUGCGUAGAUAUCGUUUGGAACGCCAAUGGUGAAAACAGCUCGCUGGGGGAUGUGCCGACGGCUGAGAUACGAAAGCCCAGGGGAGCGAACGGG